rnacentral:lncRNA from 1 species
UAAAAUGUUUGAUAGGCAAGCGAGCUUGGUUUGGUUUAGGAAGCAGGAUCAUCAUAACAACAAGAGACGAGCAUCUGCUGCAAAUCUACGGAGUUGAUGAUGUGUAUAAUCCGACGAAAUUGAAUGCCAAGGAAGCACUUCGCCUUUUCAGUUUGAAAGCUUUCAAAAGUGAAACACCUGCAAAGGAAUUUUUUGAGCUUUCUGAACAUGUAGUGGAAUAUGCCAAUGGCCUUCCAUUAGCUCUUGAAGUUUUUGGUUCUUUUCUAUCUGGCAGAUCAGAUGAAGCUCAAUGGAGACGUGCUACCGAAAGACUUAAAAAGGAGUCCAACAAAGAAAUUCUAGACAGGCUUCAAAUAAGCUUUGAUGGGUUAGAACAGUCAGAGAAAGCUAUAUUUUUAGAUAUUGCAUGCUUCUUCAAAGGAGAAGACAAAGAUAUGGUAACCAAAAUUCUCGAUGGUUGUGACUUUUUUCCGGAUAUUGGAAUAGAUGUUCUCGUUAAAAAAUCUCUUAUAACAAUUAAUGAAGACAACAAAUUAUCGAUGCAUGACUUGUUACAAGAGAUGGGAAGGAAAAUUGUUUACCAAGAAUCUCCUAAUGAACCAGGAGAACGUAGUAGAUUAUGGGAAGAAAAUGAUACCUAUAAUGUGCUAAUAGAAAACACAGCAAGUCUUUUAAGUAAAUAUUAGCAUUAUAGUGCUAAAUUUGGUAGAGGUAUUAUUUUUUUUGCUUAUUUAAAUAUAUGAGUUAACUAUAAAUUAAUUAUAAUUGAUAAUUUUUAACCACUCACAUAAUUUGUUUGUCACAAAAAGAAGUAUAAUUUUUUUCUUAUUUUUAAGAGGUCUUAUUAUUUGUAAAUUUGUACUAAUUGUUUUUAUUUUAUAUUUAAUUAUUUGAACAUAUGUAUUAAAUAAGCUUUUUCUAUUACUCUCGUAACUAAACUUGUCAUAGCUGUUAUAUGCAGAGUUAAGCCAUUAAAUUUACUAUUAAUUGUCGAUUACUCUGAUUUUCAGGCUACGGAAGCUGUUCAAGGUAUAGUCUUGGUUUACACAGGGUACAAAUUAAUACAUCUAUCUGUGUAUUUGUAGUUGAUUACUCUGUAUUUUGUGGAGGUCAUUCAUCAUUUGCCCUUGGUUAUCAGGGAACAAAAUAAGACCUGGACUUUGAGUGCUGAUGCCUUCUUGAAGAUGAAAAGGUUAAGAUUGCUCAGAUUCUUGAAUGCCCCAAAUUCUCGUGAUAUUAAGUAUCUCAGCAACGAGUUAAGACUUUUGGAGUGGCAUGGGUAUCCUUUCAAAUCCUUCCCUUCAAGCUUCCAACCAGAAAAGCUUGUUGCACUUCUUCUGCCUUAUAGCUUCAUUAAAAAAUUAUGGAAGCCAGACAUGGUAGGAACUACAUUGUUUUAUCAAUUAUUUGCCUAACACAGAUAGCGAAGAAACAAAAAAGAAAAUGACAUUUCAAUUCUUUGUUUUUCUAUUGUUUUUUUUCCAACAGCCUUUGCAUAAGUUAAAAUUGGUCGACCUCAAAUGCUCUAGAAAUCUUGUGAAAACACCAGAUUUCAGAAUGGUCCCAAACCUUGAAAGUUUGGUUUUGGAAGGUACUGGAAUAGCAGAUUUUCAUCCAAGCAUCAGGUUUCUAAGGAGGCUUAAGCUUUUGAAUUUAAGAAACUGCAAAAGCCUUAGGAGUUUCCCUUCCAAAAUUGGAAAGGAAUCUCUUGAAACAUUAAUUCUUUCAGGUUGUUCAAAUAUAAAAUGGAUUCCAGAGGUUGUGGGAGAAAUGGAGUGUUUGAAAAAGCUUCAUUUAGAUGGGACUGGUAUUAACGAACUUCCCUCUUCAAUUGGACAUCUCAGGAGUCUUGUGUUGUUAAAUCUGAAAGAUUGUUGUAAGCUUGAGAAUCUCCCAAGCAGCAUAGGUGGUUGUGAAUUCCUCACAACUCUUGUUCUCUCUGGUUGUUCCAAGCUAGAAAAUUUGCCAGAGAAUUUGCAGCAAAUAAAAUCUUUGGAGAAGCUUGACUUGAGCGGAACUGCCAUAACAACACCACCGUCCUUCAUUUUUCAUAUGAAAAAUCUGAAGUUUUUGUCCUUUCGAGGAAGCAAGGGACCACCACCUAGAGUACGAGCAUAUUGGCCUUUUAUUUCGAGCGCAACAAAAAGUCCUAGUUGGAACUGUACGACUUUGAGGCUACCUGCAAUUUUGUCAGGUUUGAGUACUUUAAAAGAGCUGAAUUUAAGUGAUUGCAACCUUCAUGAGGGGGCUGUUCCUAAUGAUAUUUGCAGCUUAUCCUCGUUGGAAAUUCUACGUCUUAGUGAUAACAAUUUCACCACCCUACCUGCAACUCUUAGUCGACUUUCCAAGCUUACUCGUCUAUUUCUGACUGAUUGCAAAAGGCUUAAGUCAUUGCCUGAGCUUCCAGCAGCCGGCUUAGAUUUAUGGAUAGAUGGUUGUGCUUCAUUGGAAGUAGUUGCACAGUCAACAACAGCUUGCCCUUCAAGGCUUAGUGGAUAUAUUUGUGCUUUUAACUGCUUCAAAUUGGCAGAGGGUAACAAUGCAGUAACAAUGCUGAAGACACGUCUGAAGGUUAGAACCUUUAUUUUUCGCUAUUAUCGCUCCCAUUGAUUUAUGGUACAAGUUUCAGCAAAAGUGUCUUUGUUUGCAGACAGUUGCAAAUGCAAGAACAAAAUAUUAUGACAUUUUCAUACCAGGAAGUGAAAUCCCAGUAUGGUUUAGCAGUCAAACGGAUGUCUCUUCAAAAUCUAUAAUAAAGAUGCAAUUGCCUCCCAAUUUUCUGAAUGAUACACAGUUCUUAGGAUUUGCUUUCUGCUGUCUUUUCUUCUCUGACUUCAAUAAUAAACCUUGGAGGGGGGAGCAUAUUUCCUACAGAACUGUUAUCCAUGGUAGAAAUUACUCCCGACAAGUUGAAAGUUCUUUCUGUCAUUUAAAGGGGAACUCUACAAGGGUGACCGAGGAUCACCUUUGGAUACAUUAUUUGCCUUGUGCCAAAAUAAAUUUGUCUUCCUUGGUGGAAUUAGCUACUCCACUUCAAAUAGAGGUUGUAGUAAACAUCUUUGGCAUCAAUUCCGUGGUGAAGAAAUGUGGAGCUCGAAUAGUGCAUGAGAAAGAUUUGGAAGAGAUGGAUCAUACCAUAAAUGAGCAUAGUGAGCCAACUUCUUCAAAAUUUGAUGAUAUCCAUUCAAACGAUGGAUCAAACGAGAAUAAUAUCGGCGCGCCCGUCAAAAGAAAAUGGUUAAGCUUUCACUUAUUUUCAUUGUAUUCCUCAAAUCUUCAAUGAUUGAUAUAUGCUAUUGUCUCCUGUUUUGUACGGCUGAUUUACUUCAUAUCUUCGUGCUUUGCUUCCAGGUUGAAUGCGAAAGCAGGUGAUCAGCAGGGGAAAAUUACUCUAUUUUGUGCAUCUUGUCAAUCAGAUAUUGUAAACCAUCGACUACUCUCCUAGCUCUAUAUAUUAUUAUCCAUUUCCUUUCAUAUAGAUUUAUCUUUUCCGUACAAGUUGUGUUUCAAAUUUUUUAUAGGCGGAAAAUACCAUUGGUUAAAAUCAUUUAAUUAGCAUUUUUUUAUUAUUUUUUAAUAAUGAAAUGGACUACAAGUUAUAAUAGAAAUUUUGAAGUAUAGUCAUUCUAUCUUAGGAUAACAUUCUGACACAUGCGUUCAAGAAGAAAUUGAAGCGAAUCAUUUCCUUCUUUUGAGGAACCCUUGUACUCUAGGGAGAACAUUUUCAGACCAUGUGUGCCAUAGUAAAGAAACUAUAUCAUAAAGAAAGCUCCUUGGAAUUGUCUUUUUCUUUUAGCAUUAUUCUAUUAGUACAUCCCAAAACAUCUUAACUAUUGCAAUCAAACCACGUCCAUAUGUUUAUAAAGUUCAGACAUCUUAAUUACAAGAGAUGAAGCAUGAAAAUUUACUCUUGAAAGCAGCCUUUUGAAAGUUAAUACAUGAUGAUCUAAACAUUUGCUUCCAUAAAAUACUAGCAUCUAGAGGAUGACCACUAUACUGUAUGGAUUUUGGGUGAAAUUGAUAUACUAGAUUCCUUUUUUAAGUUUUUUUUAGGUAUUUGGAGGAUUAUAUCAUGUAUCCAUAUCCAAAUGUGUCGUACACAAUUAUAACAUACAGAUAAUUCAUGAAAAAUGAAGAGUCUAAGGUAAUAUAGAUUGAGGGGUGCAUCGAACUAGAAUUCAAUGUAAAAAACAGGAAAAUUGAAAUUAAAGUUCAAUUAGCAGCCAACAAAUUUUUAUAUUGCAAAUAGAGAUUUAUCGUUUGAAUCAAAUUGUCAAAUUAAGCCUAUCAUGUUCUUGAGAGGUUGGUCAAUUUGCAAGCCGAGUUGUUAUUUCUUAAAAAGGUUUUUAUAUAACAAGAGACUACUAUAUGGUUGUGCUUAGUAGCUUUCAAUUGCUCUGCUGGAAAGUUGGCUCUAUACUUUAUCAAACAAAGAAUGUCAUUGAAAUGUCUCAUUUGAUUAUUUAGUGUAUCAACAUAAUGAAAAUUUUAAUUAAUAAAAUAUUUUUUCAUAAUAUAAAGAAUAUUUAGUAUAAAUUUAAACUUAAAAAUUAAAAUAAUAAAAGCUUUAGGUUUUUAUAAAAAAAACUCUUCAAAAUAAUUGAUUUUCCUCCCCUUGGAAGAAAACAAGUUACAGAUAAAAUUUACCAACUAAAAUUAAUUUAUUGUUAACUUAUGUACUAAGAUGUGUUGGAAAAAUUAAGGGUAAAGUAUAAAAUAGUCACUAAAUUGUUAACUUCAUUUUAUUUUGGUCACUAAUCAAUUAAUUUUUUCGAUUUAGUCACUAAGGUUAUUGAAAUAAAAUAUUUUGAUCACUCUCCGGUUAGUUCUGAUUGCUAAAAAAAACAUUAUCUAUACUUAUUAUAAAAAAUUUAAUGAUGUUUAUGUUUCGGGUUAAUCAGAUAUUAACUCGGUUGAAAAAAGAUUAAUACAUUUUCUUUUAAAUGACUAUUAUGAUGAUUCUUUUGCCCUUUUAAACUUAAGGGACCGCGAAGGGUUAGGGUUUUUUUCUGGUUGGCCUUUAAACAGAGAUUGCUUACUCAAGCAAAGCGACUAAGCGUGGUGUGGGAAGUGAAGCAAGGUAUCUGAUCUGUGGCCAUGAAACAGAGGAUGUUCUUCAUGCUAUAAGGGACUGUAAUGCAGUGAAAAAUGUAUGGUUCCGGAUCGUCCCUUCCUAUAAGUUAAUCUUUUUUCUUUUCAAGUAAUUUACCGGAGUCGCUUGAAUGCAAUUUGGAUAAUCGACUCAAUUUAACCUGGUGGAAUGUCGAUUGGCCGUGCUUAUUUGGCAUUGUUGCUUGGCGGAUAUGGAAGAACAUGAAUAUAUACACCUUUCACGGGGUCCCGUGAAUUACAGAGGAGAUCGUCAAAGGUGCAUAGUUGGACCAACCAAUACAUUUCAUCUUGCAAGGAAGGAACCCUAAUGAGAUUGAGCUCAAGAGAAGAGAUAGUGAAAAUAGGAAGAUUGAGUCAAUUUAGAUCCGAUGGAGCCUUUAAAUUUAACACAGGUUAUGCUUCAACAGGUGGUGUAUUGAGAGUCACAAUAGCAAAAGGUUACUCGGGUUCAAUUGCAUAUUGGGUAAAUGUUCUGUUUUUGAUGCUGAAUUGUGGGGCAUCCUUGAUGGUGUGACGUUGACACAAGACAAAAUACAUGAUAGAAUUGUGAUACAGUUAGAUAAUAUGGAAGUUACAGAGUUAUCAAUGAGUCCUUCAUGAAGGAAUCAAAUUCUACAUUAAUCAAGCGUAUCUUACAGCUUUUACAAAAUGAGGAAAAUUGGUUGAUUGAAUAUGUUCCUAGAGACGAGAACAAAGAAGCUAAUAGUAUUACCAAGUUGGCAUUUAGCAGGGAGGAGAGUCUACAGUUAUAUGAAACUUCUCUUCUUGAAACUUUCUAGUAUUUCAUAAUAGUUUCAUUUUGUUCAUCAAAAAAAAAAAAAAUUAAAAACCAUAUAUCAAAAAAUCGAACUUAUGUUUGCUAAAAUUUACAUACAAUUUUUUUUCAUAAUGUUUUUUCUUAUAUUUUCACAUAACCUAUUAAUUAUUUUAGUAACACCAAACAUUAUUGCUAACAUAACAUUACAACAUUAUAGCAUUCACCAAAAACUUAAAUGAGAAAUUAGGAAGAGUAAUUGAGUUCGAGUUCUUUGUUGCUCAGACUCGAUAAAAUGAGAGCUAUAUUUGUGUGGACAGGGAAAAUGUGUUGGAUUGUCGGAUUCUUAUAAUUAAGUGAGAAAAGAAAAAGAAAAAGAAGAUGGAAAAGAAAGAAACAGCCAAACAAAAUCAAAUGAAAAUCGAGAAAAUAAAGUUAAAUGUGUCAAAAACAAGUAGAAUGCCUUUUCUUUUUAACGUCAAUUUCAUGUGAAUUACUAUUCCUUCAACUUGGUUUGUCUUUUGCAAUCAUUACAAUAUUUGAUUAUAAUUUACUCUAAGGUGAUAAUCAAGUUUAUUGUAGAUUAAUCAUUAAUCUCUAGUAUAAGAGCCGAGUUGCUACUACUCACUCUCCAUCAACUUUCCUCCAAAUAUAGCACUUCUUAAUGUUUGUUCUGAGAAACUACCUCUCUUCUUUUGUUUUCAGUUUUCUUAGAGGUGUGUUAAUUGGCCAGCCUUUCUGCGACAAAAAAGAAUCUUGAAAAUCUUCAAGUACCAAGUAAAUCCCAUCGAUUUCUUCAACUUAGCUCCUAAGUUCCAAUGGUUAGAUUCGAUAAUGAGACAUCCUCCUCUUCCUCCUCCUCCUCCUCAUCAGCAUCAUCAUCGUUGGAAUCAUCUUCUUCAGUUUCUCGAGGGAAAUAUGAUGUUUUCUUGAGUUUCAGAGGUGAGGAUACCCGCAGGAAUUUCACGGAUCAUCUUUAUGCUGCAUUCAAAAGGAGAGGAAUCAUCACUUUUUGGGAUGACGAAAAGCUCGAGACAGGUGAACCCAUAGCACCUGAGCUCUUCAAAGCAAUUCAUGAGUCAUGGUGCUCUGUAAUCGUUUUGUCGGAAGGGUAUUGUUUUUCGAGUUGGUGCCUAGAAGAGCUUUCCGAGAUUAUUCAACAGAAAAACGACAAGGGACAUAAAGUCUUCCCCAUUUUCUAUUAUGUGGAUCCAUCUGAUUUGAGAAAACAAACCGGAAAAGUUCAAGAAGCUUUUCUUAAGCAUGAAAAUAAUUUCCAGGACAACAAAGAGAAGACACAAAGGUGGCGAUCUGCUUUAACUCAAGCAGCUAACAUCAAAGGAUGGCACUUGAGUAACAGGUAACUAUCAUAUUCUUUCACUUCAAUAAUAUCUUACCAGCAUCAAGUUUGAAGUUUGAGGCAUUAGCUAAGGAUUGUGCCCUUAAAGUUUCACUAAGCUAUUUCCUUUGCUUUGUAUUUGAAGGCAUGAAUCAGAACUUAUUGGAGAAAUCAUUAAAAAGGUAUCAACAAAAUUAUGUCAAACAUUUGCAAGUGCUCCUAAUGACAUGAUUGGAAUUGAGUCACGUUUGGAAGAGUUAAAUUGCAAAAUAGGCAUAGGGGAGGAAGAUGAUAGUGUUCAGAUUAUAGGGAUUUGUGGUAUGGGCGGGUUAGGUAAAACAACACUUGCGAGAUUUGUUUAUACCCAAAUUUCAAGUCAUUUUGAGGGCCAAAGCUUUCUGGCCGAUGUUCGUGAAAUUGCAGAGAAACAUGGACUUGUUUGUUUGCAGAAACAACUUCUUUCCCAAAUUUUUCCAGAGGAAAGUUUCAACUUUUUUAAUGUUCAUGAUGGGAAUGACAUCAUACGUCAUAUGUUAUCUCAUAAAAAGAUUUUUGUUGUUGUUGAUGAUGUGGAUAACAUACAACACUUAAAAUGUUUGAUAGGCAAGCGAGCUUGGUUUGGUUUAGGAAGCAGGAUCAUCAUAACAACAAGAGACGAGCAUCUGCUGCAAAUCUACGGAGUGGAUGAUGUGUAUAAUCCGACGAAAUUGAAUGCCAAGGAAGCACUUCGCCUUUUCAGUUUGAAAGCUUUCAAAAGUGAAACACCUGCAAUGGAAUUUUUUGAGCUUUCUAAACGUGUAGUGGAAUAUGCCAAUGGCCUUCCGUUAGCUCUUGAAGUUUUUGGUUCUUUUCUGUCUGGC